GGAGAUGUAGCUCAGUGGUUGAGCACUUGCCUGGCAUACACAAUGUCCUGAGUUCAAUUCCCAGCACCACAA
rnacentral:tRNA from 1 species